rnacentral:misc_RNA from 1 species
AACGCACCUUGCACUCCUUGGUAUUCCGAGGAGUAUGCCUGUUCGAGUGUCAUGAAACUCUCAAACCGCAUCUUCAUUGAUGUCGGGCUUGGAUUUGGACGUUGCUGGACGUGAGUUCGGCUCGUCUUGAACGCAUUAGCUGACGAUUUCGACUUCAGUUAAACCGUGUGAUAAUACAUCAACGCGGGCAGCCGUAAGGCGCUGGGUCGUCUCUCAAAGGCUUCCAAUCGUCCCGUCCGGGACUGUCCUUACGGGCAUUUCAUUUCACAUCUGGCCUCGAAUCAGGUAGGACUACCCGCUGAACUUAA